GGGCCCGCACAAGCGGUGGAGCAUGCGGUUUAAUUCGAUGAUACGCGAGGAACCUUACCAGGGCUUAAAUGUAAGUUGCAUUAGCUAGAGAUAGCUAUUUCUUCGGACCACUUACAAGGUGCUGCAUGGUUGUCGUCAGCUCGUGCCGUGAGGUGUCAGGUUAAGUCCUAUAACGAGCGCAACCCCUGUUGUUAGUUGCCAGCGAGUCAUGUCGGGAACUCUAACAAGACUGCCGGUGCAAACCGUGAGGAAGGUGGGGAUGACGUCAAAUCAUCACGGCCCUUACGUCCUGGCUACACACGUGCUACAAUGGUCGGUACAGAGAGCAGCCACUGCGCGAGGGGGAGCGGA
rnacentral:rRNA from 1 species